rnacentral:rRNA from 1 species
AUGCUUUGGUGCCUUCGGGAACUCUGAGACAGGUGCUGCAUGGCUGUCGUCAGCUCGUGUUGUGAAAUGUUGGGUUAAGUCCCGCAACGAGCGCAACCCUUAUCCUUUGUUGCCAGCGGUCCGGCCGGGAACUCAAAGGAGACUGCCAGUGAUAAACUGGAGGAAGGUGGGGAUGACGUCAAGUCAUCAUGGCCCUUACGAGUAGGGCUACACACGUGCUACAAUGGCGCAUACAAAGAGAAGCGACCUCGCGAGAGCAAGCGGACCUCAUAAAGUGCGUCGUAGUCCGGAUUGGAGUCUGCAACUCGACUCCAUGAAGUCGGAAUCGCUAGUAAUCGUGGAUCAGAAUGCCACGGUG